rnacentral:rRNA from 1 species
GAUCCUGGCUCAGGAUGAACGCUAGCUACAGGCUUAACACAUGCAAGUCGAGGGGAAACGACAUCGAAAGCUUGCUUUUGAUGGGUGUCGACCGGCGCACGGGUGAGUAACGCGUAUCCAACCUGCCCACCACUUGGGGAUAACCUUGCGAAAGUAAGACUAAUACCCAAUGAUAUCCCACGAAGGCAUCCGAAUGGGAUUAAAGAUUUAUCGGUGAUGGAUGGGGAUGCGUCUGAUUAG